rnacentral:lncRNA from 1 species
AAAAAAUUGGUGUCAUUUUUAGAAAAAAUAUUCAAAUAAUGUGAACAAUGUUUGUGUAAUAUAUAUAAAAUGUUUCGUACGAUUCACAAAAAUGUUGAAUGUGUAUUUGAGAAUAUUCAACAUUUUAUGUAAAGAAGCAUUUAAACAUAUAUUUCAAAGUAAUAUUCAUCAUGUAUUUGAAAAAUGUUCAACGCAUAACAAAAAAUGUUACACAUGUAUACACAAAAUGUACAACGUGUAUUGAGAAAAUUUGACAUUUAUUUGAAAGUAAGGUAAAAGAAAAAUUUGGUAAAAUAAAAAAUGGAUUAAGGAACAUAGGAAAAUAUAAAAAAAAUACCGCAUUGAAGUUCUUAAAACUGGUCCAAACCUGUCUAAAUAAUUUUCCCGAAUUAACCUUAUGGGCCGGCCCUGCACUGUAGAUCAUGUAGCGGUUUAGAAAGAUUCCUAUAGUCUAGUUCGUACUGACCUUAGGCUGUGUUUGGUUCAACUUCAGCUUUGAACUUUUGGGUCCAAAAGCUAUAAGCUGAACCAAAUGGGUAAAUUUACAAAGCAGCUUUUGAGAAUCUGCAGCUUCUCUGUAGUGUAAAUUUUGAAGCUGGGAUACCCCAACUUUUCAGCUUCUCAGCUUCUAAACCAACCAUUUUCUGUUGUCCCCUAAAACCGAGUAGUAUUUACCCAUCAAUGCCACUGGUAAGUCAUACCUCUUCAUUGUGUUUCACAGCCGUUUCAGCUAAACAGCCGUUUUAGCCAAACAGCUUCCAGCUUUUCCACAGCUAAAAGUUCACAGCAGUUUUUUCACAGCUCACAGCUCACAGCGGCUUUUACAGAAUCUGCAGCUCAACCAAACACAGCCUUAGAACCUUCCUUAUUGUUGUUUCUAUGUGUUUUUUAUCGGUGUUUCAUUUGGUUUUUUUCUUCACUAUCUUUUUCAACAUAUGUCUACUCUUCAAUAGUCAAUACACACUGUAUAUUUUUAGUAUACACGCGAAACAUUUUUUUUACAAAGUUGAAAGUUUUUUAAAUACAUGUUUUAAACAUUGUGAAUAUAUGUUAAACAUUUUUCAAUACAUGGUGAAUAUUUUUAAUGGCGUUAAAAAUUUCUUCAAAUUAUGCGAACAUUGCUUUAUCUUAUAUAUACUUAAAUGUGAGAGCAUUGUUUUUAAAUAUGCGAAGAUUUAUUAAAAAUGUCAUGUAUAUUAUUUUUGGAUGAUAUGAAAUAUUGUUUUGGGAACCACGCAAAGUUUUACACUUCAUGAAUAUUUUCAAAAUGUGCGAUGAGCAUUAUUAAUUUUUUUUGAGAACCACAGAGUAAAGAGCCUACUCCCUGGUGGGGUUACAAUCUGAGUACAUCAGCUGGGUAAGAUUAUCCGGGACCCUUUCUAAUAGAACUUGGUUGCCUGUAGACCUGGCCAUUGCAGCUAGCUCAUGCGCCAGGUGGUUUUUGUUCCGGCUGAUGACCUUUGCGACGGAGCUCUCAAAUAGGUUCAGGUUGUGUCGGAUGUCGGCCACAAGAGGAAAACAUGCCGAUUGGUUUCCACAUCCCUUCUCCAAGAGUUGUCCCACUGACGAACUAUCAGUUUCCACGAUCAAUUUUCCGUUGAAAACUUUAGCCAGCUCUCACACCCCCAAGUACAGCAGCAACUUCUGCUUCCACUGGGGAGUUACAUUUGCCCAAUUCUAAGCAAGCCGAGAGGCGGACUCGUCCUUGCGCGUCUCUUGCUACCGCCCCUCCCCAACUGUCGCCUGAUGCUUGGAUAAAGGAGGCAUCCGUGUUUAACUUCACCCAUCCCUCCUCCGGUGUCAUCCACCUUGCUGUAGUGGCAACUGAAAGAGUACCUGGAGCUGACUGACGUAGGCUGUAGCUGCUCAUCCGGUCCUGUUUCUCCGGAAUCUGGGCAUUGGCAAAUUCCUCCUCGUACCUUGUCAGGAGUAUUGCCGAUCCCUGAACGGUGCCCUUUACCAUCCCCAUGGAUGGCGUCAUUUCUUAGAUUCCAGCAUUUCCAGAAUAGCAUCAGAAUACGUCGCCUGGUUAUCUCAUCCUGCGAGUUCAGAAGUAUUUGCAGCCAGUCUGUUCCUGUGUACCUGAACUUGUCUUCCUUUGGCAGGUUCCAAAUAGGCCUCAUAGUAAAUCUCAGGGCUUUACUCCUGGUACACACAUUGACCGCAUGGAACUCAUUUUCGUCCUCCUUCCCACACAAGCUGCAUAUACUAUCUGUGGUGAUCGUUCUCCUGCAUGUGUUUAGCUUCGUGGCCAAGGAAUUGGUCGCCGUUCGCCAACCGAAGAUUUUUAUUUUCUCAGGUACCUUAGCUUUCCAGAUCAUGUCCCACAGGUUUCAAACUCCUGCCUCACUGUUAGAGGCCGAAGCCCCUGAGGUGGAAUUGCGUUUAAUCAUAUCAGCCAGUUUGUAAGCACUCUUCAGCGUGAAUUGUCCAGAUUUCUCAUAAUGCCAUGCAAUGCUAUCUGCAGUUUCAGCACUUGGUAACCUUAGUUUGCAGAUUUCCUCCGCAUCAAACUGGUAAAAAAUCUGCUUAAUCAGAUCUACAUUCCAUUGCCUUUCGGUUGGGAGUAACAAUUGAUUGACCCAUCGGAUUCUUGUCCUCUGAAUAAAACUAGAUGUCUUUCGGCCCUCGCUACGAGGGAGCCAGUGAUCCUUUUGAAUUUGAAUGCUCUUGCCAUUCCCUACUCUCCAAAUCACUCCCUCCUUCAGCAAUUCGAGGCCAAAUUCAAUCCCCCUCCAUGAGGGUGAAGCGUCCGAACUGAAGACCGUAUCCAGGAGAUUACCUCGUGGGUAAUAUUUUGAUUUCAGGACGCGAGCGCACAUGCUAUCUGGGUUUUGUACCAGCCUCCAGGCUUGGCGGGCUAGGAGAGCUUGGUUAAAUAGGUGCAUGUCACGAAAUCCUAUGCUCCCAUUCUUCUUGUGUCUCGUCAUAUUCUCCCAAGACAUCCAGUGCACCUUCGGUGGUUCUCCUUAUCACCCCACCAGAAGUCCCUAAUCAUCUUUUGAUAUCUCUCGCAAAACCCCAUGCUCAUUGUGAACACGCCCAUGAUGUAAGCCGGGAGUGCUUGCACCACUGACUUGACGUUAACCUCCUUGGCUGCCUGAGUCAUGAACCUUUCAUUCCAGUCGCAACACCUCUUACCGAGUUUGUCCAUGAUCGGUUGAAAGUGCUCAUCCUUCAUUCUACCCUCCGGCGUGGGGAGGCCCAAGUAUUUGCUCUCAAAAAGAGAGAUAGUUACUCCAAGGAUCUCCUUGAUCUCUUCCCUGACUUGCACCGGACAAGCCUCGCUGAAAAGGAGCAAGCAUUUACUUUGGCUUAAGAGUUGUCCCGAUCUUCGUUGGAAUAUGUUCAGGAUCUCCUUCACCUUUCUAGCUUCUUCCACAUUAGCUUUGAAGAAGAGGAGGCUAUCAUCCGUGAAAAGAAGGUUUGAUAUUCCUGGACUAUUACGAGCAAUUUUGAGUGGAGUCGGUGAACCCUUUGCCACUUCUCUCCUUAGCAGCCCCGCCAGUCCUUCCGCCACGAAUAAAAACAAGUAUGGGCUAAGCGGGUCUCCCUGUCUUAGUCCCCGGGACGGAUGAAAGGGCUCCAACAGCUCCCCAUCACACCUUACUGUGAACCUCACUGACCUAACACAAGCCAUCACCCACUCAAUCCAUUUGUCAGCAAAACCUAUCCUUCUUAGGGCCCCCUCGAGGAAAUCCCAGUCCACCCGGUCAUAAGCCCUGGCCAAGUCCAGUUUGUAGGCACAGUAGGAGUCCCUCGGGUUUUUGCUAUGUUGAAUUUUGUGGAAACACUCAAACGCUAUGAGGGCGUUGUUCGUGAUCAGCCUACCGGGAACGAAAGCACUCUGAGUUUCAGACACUAGAUCAUCCUGGAGGGGUCUCAAUCUGUUAACUAAAACCUUCGAGUUUACCUUGUAAAUCACAUUGCAUAAGCUGAUGGGUCGGUAGUCCUUAAUAGUCUUUGGGUCUUUCCCUUUCGGAAUGAGUACUAUAACCGUGUCAUUCACUCCCUCUGGCAUGGCGCCAUCCUCGAAGAACUUGAUCACCGCUUUCGUGACAUCCUCCUUCACCACAUCCCAGUUCCGUUGAAAGAAACGGGCUGGGAAUCCGUCGGGACUUGAUGCCUUAAGCGGGCCGAUUUGAAAUAGGGCAUCCCCCACUUCCUCUGGAGUAACAGUCUUGGUCAGGGUUGCAUUCAUGUCUUCAUCAACUAGCGUCAGGUAGCUGUCGAGUAGAGUUUGUGGGUCAACCGUAUCAUCUCUGGUAUAUAGGUCCUUGAAAAACUGAUUAAUUUCGGCCUGUAUUUCCUCCAUUUCUCUAUCCAAGAACCAUCCGUACCUUGUAGCUUAUGGAUUUUAUUUUUUUUCCUCCUCCAGGUAGCCUUGCGGUGGAAGAAUUCGGUGUUCUUGUCCCCUUCUCUCAGCCAGGCAAUUCUAGACCAUUGCUUCCACAUGAUUUCCUCUCUGAGUAGUAGUUCAUCCAGCUCUCCGGUUGUGAUCUUGAUCUUACGUUCAAUUUCAGGUGUAACAGUUUGGUUCCACAACCACUUUAGUCUGCCUCUACACGAACUGAUCUUGUUUUGGAGUGAGCAAAAAUCUUUCAGUGCCCACGAGCUCAAGGUAUUCUGCAUGUCUCUCAGCUUUGCUACGACAUCUUCCAUCGAUCUGCCUUGUCCUCCCCUCUCCCAUGCAUUACGGAUUGUGUCAGGGAGUAACUCCACUCUUUCCCACAUUGCUUCAUAUCUAAAACUUCUUUUUACCGGCCGCCACUCCUUCCUUUUUCCAAGUCGCAGUAAAACAGGGACAUGGUCUGAUCUUGCAGAGAUGAUGUGCUCCACUGUUGCAUUCCUGAAGGCCGUGCUCCAUUCUGGUGUGGCCACUGCCCUGUCUAGGUGGGCUUUCACAUUACUGGACCCGCUCUGUUUGUUGUCGUACGUCCAUGCCAUACCUUUGUAGCCAAUAUCAUGAAGAUUACAAUCCGAUAGAACCCUUCUGAAGUUUGCCAUGUUAGUUUCAGAUCUCUUUGCCUUAGAGAAGUGUUCACUCUGCCACAUAGUCUCAUUAAAGUCCCCGAUCACAAGCCACGGUUCAGAGGCAUUUGGUCUCAAUCUUCUCAGUACAUUCCACAUGUGGAUUCUCUCAUGAGCUUUCGGCUCUCCAUAGACAAAAGUUCCCCUCCAUCGGGGGCUGUUAGGAGACACACGGAUCAACACAUCAAUAUACCACGGGCCAACGGCAAGUUCUUUUAUUUCUACGUUUUCAUCAUAGAAGAGGGCAAUACCAGCACUCUUUCCAGUAUCGGCAUGCUUGAUACAGUGCUUGAGGCCUAGCCUCCAUCUUAAUUUAUUGACGUAGUCAUCCUUUUGCCGUGUUUCAGAGAGGAAGACUAGUUUGGGUUUGAGCGAAUGCACUGUUGGGUUUCGUAGUAAUUUCAAAAAAAUUCCUACGCUCACGCAAGAUCAUGGUGAUGCAUAGCAACGAGAGGGGAGAGUAUGAUCUACGUACCCUUGUAGAUCGACAACGGAAGCGUUUGGUUGAUGUAGUCGUACGUCUCCACGGCCCGACCGAUCAAGCACCGAAACUACGGCACCUCCGAGUUCUAGCACACGUUCAGCUCGAUGACGAUCCCCGGACUCCGAUCCAGCAAAGUGUCGGGGAAGAGUUCCGUUAGCACGACGGCGUGGUGAUGAUCUUGAUGUACUACCGUCGCAGGGCUUCGCCUAAGCACCACUACAAUAUUAUCGAGGACUAUGGUGGAAGGGGGCACCGCACACGGCUAAGAAUAUGAUCACGUGGAUCAACUUGUGUCUCUAGGGGUGCCCCUGCCUCCGUAUAUAAAGGUUCAAGGGAGGGGGGCCAGCCGGCCAAGGUGUGGCGCGCAAGGAGGAGUCCUACUCCUUCUGGGAGUAGGACUCCCCCCUUUCCUAGUUGGAAUAGGAUUCAUGGAGGGGGGGAAAGAGGAGAGAGAGGAGGAAGGGGGCCCGGCCCCCUCUCCUUGUCCAAUUCGGACCAAGGGGGGAGGGGCGUGCGGCCCAUCUCUGGCCACCUCUCCUCUCUUCCACUAAGGCCCACUAAGGCCCAUAUACCUCCCGGGGGGUUCCGGUAACCUCCCGGUACUCCGGUAAAAUCCCGAUUUUACCCGGAACACUUCCGAUAUCCAAACAUAGGCUUUCAAUAUAUCAAUCUUUAUGCCUUAAACAUUUCGAGACUCCUCGUCAUGUCCGUGAUCACAUUCGGGACUCCGAACAACCUUCGGUACAUCAAAAUGCAUAAACUCAUAAUAUAACUGUCAUCGUAACCUUAAGCGUGCGGACCCUACGGGUUCGAGAACAAUGUAGACAUGACCGAGACACGUCUCCGGUCAAUAACCAAUAGCGGAACCUGGAUGCUCAUAUUGGCUCCUACAUAUUCUACGAAGAUCUUUUAUCGGUCAGACCGCAUAACAACAUACGUUGUUCCCUUUGUCAUCGGUAUGUUACUUGCCCGAGAUUCGAUCGUCGGUAUCCUAUACCUAGUUCAAUCUCGUUACCAGCAAGUCUCUUUACUCGUUCUGUAAUACAUCAUCCCGCAACUAACUCAUUAGUUGCAAUGCUUGCAAGGCUUAAGUGAUGUGCAUUACUGAGAGGGCCCAGAGAUACCUCUCCGACAAUCGGAGUGACAAAUCCUAAUCUCAAAAUACGCCAACCCAACAUGUACCUUUGGAGACACCUGUAGAGCUCCUUUAUAAUCACCCAGUUACGUUGUGAUGUUUGCUAGCACACAAAGUGUUCCUCUGGCAAACGGGAGUUGCAUAAUCUCAUAGUCAUAGGAAGAUGUAUAAGUCAUGAAGAAAGCAAUAGCAACAUACUAAACGAUCGGGUGCUAAGCUAAUGGAAUGGGUCUUGUCAAUCAGAUCAUUCAACUAAUGAUGUGAUCCCGUUAAUCAAAUAACAACUCUUUGUCCAUGGUUAGGAAACAUAACCAUCUUUGAUUAACGAGCUAGUCAAGUAGAGGCAUACUAGUGACACUCUGUUUGUCUAUGUAUUCACACAUGUAUUAUGUUUCCGGUUAAUACAAUUCUAGCAUGAAUAAUAAACUUUUAUCAUGAUAUAAGGAAAUAAAUAAUAACUUUAUUAUUGCCUCUAGGGCAUAUUUCCUUCAGUCUCCCACUUGCACUAGAGUCAAUAAUCUAGAUUACACAGUAAUGAUUCUAACACCCAUGGAGCCUUGGUGUUGAUCAUGUUUUGCUCGUGGAAGAGGCUUAGUCAACGGGUCUGCAAUAUUCAGAUCCGUAUGUAUCUUGCAAAUCUCUAUGUCUCCUACCUGGACUAGAUCCCGGAUGGAAUUGAAGCGUCUCUUGAUGUGCUUGGUUCUCUUGUGAAAUCUGGAUUCCUUCGCCAAGGCAAUUGCACCAGUAUUGUCACAAAAGAUUUUCAUUGGACCCGAUGCAUGAGGUAUGACACCUAGAUCGGAUAUGAACUCCUUCAUCCAGACUCCUUCAUUCGCUGCUUCUGAAGCAGCUAUGUAUUCCGCUUCACACAUAGAUCCCGCCACGACGCUCUGUUUAGAACUGCACCAACUGACAUCUCCACCGUAAACACGUAUCCGGUUUGCGAUUAGAAUCGUCCGGAUCAGUGUCAAACUUGCAUCAACGUAACCGUUUACGAUGAGCUCUUUGUCACCUCCAUAUACGAGAAACAUAUCCUUAGUCCUUUUCAGGUACUUCAGGAUGUUCUUGACCGCUGUCCAGUGAUCCACUCCUGGAUUACUUUGGUACCUCCCUGCUAGACUUAUAGCAAGGCACACAUCAGGUCUGGUACACAGCAUUGCAUACAUGAUAGAGCCUAUGGCUGAAGCAUAGGGAACAUCUUUCAUCUUCUCUCUAUCUUCUGCAGUGGUCGGGCAUUGAGUCCGACUCGACUUCACACCUUGUAACACAGGCAAGAACCCUUUCUUUGCUUGAUCCAUUUUGAACUUCUUCAAAAUCUUGUCAAGGUAUGUGCUUUGUGAAAGUCCAAUUAAACGUCUUGAUCUAUCUCUAUAGAUCUUUAUGCCUAAUAUGUAAGCAGCUUCACCGAGGUCUUUCAUUGAAAAACUCUUAUUCAAGUAUCCCUUUAUGCUAUCCAGAAAUUCUAUAUCAUUUCCAAUCAGUAAUAUGUCAUCCACAUAUAAUAUCAGAAAUGCUACAGAGCUCCCACUCACUUUCUUGUAAAUACAGGCUUCUUCUUGAAGAUCCAUUUAUUCUCAAUUGCUUGCCGAUCAUUGGGCAAGUCAACCAAAGUCCAUACUUUGUUCUCAUACAUGGAUCCCAUCUCAUAUUUCAUGACUUCAAGCCAUUUUGCGGAAUCUGGGCUCACCAUUGCUUCUUCAUAGUUCGUAGGUUCAUCAUGAUCUAGUAGCAUGACUUCCAGAACAGGAUUACCGUACCACUCUGGUGCGGAUCUCACUCUGGUUGAUCUACGAGGUUCAGUAGUAUCUUGUUCUGAAGUUUCAUGAUCAUUAUCAUUAGCUUCCUCACUAAUUGGUGUAGGUGUCACAGAAACAGUUUUCUGUGAUGCACUACUUUCCAAUAAGGGAGCAGGUACAGUUACCUCGUCAAGUUCUACUUUCCUCCCACUCACUUCUUUCGAGAGAAACUCCUUCUUCAGAAAGUAUCCGAACUUAGCAACAAAAGUCUUGCCUUCGGAUCUGUGAUAGAAGGUGUAUCCAAUAGUCUCCUUUGGAUAUCCUAUGAAGACACAUUUCUCCGAUUUGGGUUCGAGCUUAUCAGGUUGAAGCUUUUUCACAUAAGCAUCGCAGCCCCAAACUUUCAGAAACGACAACUUUGGUUUCUUGCCAAACCAUAGUUCAUAAGGCGUCGUCUCAACGGAUUUUGAUGGUGCCCUAUUUAACGUGAAUGCGGUCGUCUCCAAAGCAUAACCCCAAAACGAUAGCGGUAAAUCAGUAAGAGACAUCAUAGAUCGCACCAUAUCUAGUAAAGUACGAUUACGACGUUUGGACACACCAUUACACUGUGGUGUUUCGGGUGGCGUGAGUUGCGAAACUAUUCUGCAUUGUUUCAAAUGUACACCAAACUCGUAACUCAAAUAUUCUCCUCCACGAUCAGAUCGUAGAAACUUUAUUUUCUUGUUACGAUGAUUUUCAACUUCACUCUGAAAUUCUUUGAACUUUUCAAACGUUUCAGACUUAUGUUUCAUUAAGUAGAUAUACCCAUAUCUGCUUAAAUCAUCUGUGAAGGUGAGAAAAUAACGAUAUCCGCCACGAGCCUCAAUAUUCAUCGGACCACAUACAUCUGUAUGUAUGAUUUCCAACAAAUCUGUUGCUCUCUCCAUAGUACCGGAGAAUGGCGUUUUAGUCAUCUUGCCCAUGAGGCACGGUUCGCAAGUACCAAGUGAUUCAUAAUCAAGUGGUUCCAAAAGUCCAUCAGUAUGGAGUUUCUUCAUGCGCUUUACACCGAUAUGACCUAAAUGGCAGUGCCACAAAUAAGUUGCACUAUCAUUAUCAACUCUGCAUCUUUUGGUUUCAAUAUUAUGAAUAUGUGUGUUACUACUAUCGAGAUUCAAUAAGAAUAGACCACUCUUCAAGGGUGCAUGACCAUAAAAGAUAUUACUCAUAUAAAUAGAACAACCAUUAUUCUCUGAUUUAAAUGAAUAACCGUCUCGCAUCAAACAAGAUCCAGAUAUAAUGUUCAUGCUUAACGCUGGCACCAAAUAACAAUUAUUUAGGUCUAAUAUUAAUCCCGAAGGUAGAUGUAGAGGUAGCGUGCCGACCGCGAUCACAUCGACUUUGGAACCGUUUCCCACGCGCAUCGUCACUUUGUCCUUAGCCAAUCUUCGCUUAAUCCGUAGUCCCUGUUUCGAGUUGCAAAUAUUAGCAACAGAACCAGUAUCAAAUACCCAGGUGCUACUGCGAGCAUUAGUAAGGUACACAUCAAUAACAUGUAUAUCACAUAUACCUUUGUUCACCUUGCCAUCCUUCUUAUCCGCCAAAUACUUGGGGCAGUUCCGCUUCCAGUGACCAGUCUGCUUGCAGUAAAAGCACUCAGUUUCAGACUUAGGUCCAGACUUGGGUUUCUUCUGUUGAGCAGCAACUUGCUUGCUGUUCUUCUUGAAGUUCCCCUUCUUUUUCCCUUUGCCCUUUUUCUUGAAACUAGUGGUCUUGUUGACCAUCAACACUUGAUGCUCCCUUUUUGAUUUCUACCUCCGCAGCUUUCAGCAUUGCGAAGAGCUCGGGAAUAGUCUUAUUCAUCCCUUGCACAUUAUAGUUCAUCACGAAGCUCUUGUAGCUUGGUGGCAGUGAUUGGAGAAUUCUGUCAAUGACGCAAUCAUCUAGAAGAUUAACUCCCAUUUGAAUCAAGUGAUUAUUAUACCCAGACAUUUUGAGUAUAUGCUCACUGACAGAAUUGUUCUCCUCCAUCUUGCAGCUAUAGAACUUAUUGGAGACUUCGUAUCUCUCAACCCGGACAUUUGCUUGAAAUAUUAACUUCAACUCUUGGAACAUCUCAUAUGCUCCAUGACGUUCAAAACGUCGUUGAAGUCCCGGUUCUAAGCCAUAAAGCAUGGCACACUGAACUAUCAAGUAGUCAUCAGCUUUGCUCUGCCAGACGUUCACAACAUCUGGUGUUGCUCCAGCAGCAGGCCUGGCACCCAGCGGUGCUUCCAGGAUGUAGUUCUUCUGUGCAGCAAUGAGGAUAAUCCUCAAGUUACGGACCCAGUCCAUGUAAUUGCUACCAUCAUCUUUCAACUUUGCUUUCUCAAGAAACGCAUUAAAAUUCAACGGAACAACAGCACGAGCCAUUUAUCUACAAUCAUACAUAAACAAGCAAGAUACUAUCAGGUACUAAGUUCAUGAUAAAUUUAGGUUCAGUUAAUCAUAUUACUUAAAGAACUCCCACUUAGAUAGACAUCCCUCUAAUCAUCUAAGUGAUUACGUGAUCCAAAUCAACUAAACCAUGUCCGAUCAUCACGUGAGAUGGAGUAGUUUCAUUAGUGAACAUCACUAUGUUGAUCAUAUCUACUAUAUGAUUCACGCUCGACCUUUCGGUCUCCGUGUUCCGAGGCCAUAUCUGUAUAUGCUUGACUCGUCAAGUAUAACCUGAGUAUUCCGCGUGUGCAACUGUUUUGCACCCGUUGUAUUUGAACGUAGAGCCUAUCACACCCGAUCAUCACGUGGUGUCUCAGCACGAAGAACUUUCGCAACGGUGCAUACUCAGGGAGAACACUUCUUGAUAAUUUAGUGAGAGAUCAUCUUAUAAUGCUACCGUCAAUCAAAGCAAGAUAAGAUGCAUAAAAGAUAAACAUCACAUGCAAUCAAUAUAAGUGAUAUGAUAUGGCCAUCAUCAUUUUGUGCUUGUGAUCUUCAUCUCUGAAGCAUCGUCAUGAUCACCAUCGUCACCGGCGCGACACCUUGAUCUCCAUCGUAGCAUCAUUGUCGUCUCGCCAAACUUAUGCUUCCACGACUAUCGCUACCGCUUAGUGAUAAAGUAAAGCAUUACAGCGCGAUUGCAUUGCAUACAAUAAAGCGACAACCAUAUGGCUCCUGUCAGUUGCCGAUAACUCGGUUACAAAACAUGAUCAUCUCAUACAAUAAAAUUUAGCAUCAUAUCUUGACCAUAUCACAUCACAACAUGCCCUGCAAAAACAAGUUAGACGUCCUCUACUUUGUUGUUGCAUGUUUUACGUGGCUGCUACAGGCUUAAGCAAGAACCAAUCUUACCUACGCAUCAAAACCACAACGAUAGUUUGUCAAGUUGGUGCUGUUUUAACCUUCGCAAGGACCGGGCGUAGCCACACUCAGUUCAACUAAAGUUGGAGAAACUGUCACCCGCAAGCCACCUAUGUGCAAAGCACGUCGGGAGAACCGGUCUCGCGUAAGCGUACGCGUAAUGUCGGUCCGUGCCGCUUCGUCCAACAAUACCGCCGAACCAAAGUAUGACAUGCUGGUAAGCAGUAUGACUUAUAUCGCCCACAACUCACUUGUGUUCUACUCGCGCAUAUAACAUCAACAUAUAAAACCUAGGCUCGGAUGCCACCGUUGGGUUUUGUAGUAAUUUCAAAAAAUUUCCUACGCUCACGCAAGAUCAUGGUGAUGCAUAGCAACGAGAGGGAAGAGUAUGAUCUACGUACCCUUGUAGAUCGACAACGGAAGCGUUUGGUUGAUGUAGUCGUACGUCUCCACGGCUCGACCGAUCAAGCACCGAAACUACGACACCUCCGAGUUCUAGCACACGUUCAGCUCGAUGACGAUCCCCGGACUCCGAUCCAGCAAAGUGUCGGGGAAGAGUUCCGUCAACACGACGACGUGGUGACGAUCUUGAUGUACUACCGUCGCAGGGCUUCGCCUAAGCACAUCUACAAUAUUAUCGAGGACUAUGGUGGAAGGGGGCACCGCACACGGCUAAGAAUAUGAUCACGUGGAUCAACUUGUGUCUCUAGGGGUGCCCUUGCCUCCGUAUAUAAAGGUUCAAGGGAUGGGGGCCGGUCGGCCAAGGUGUGGCGCGCCAGGAGGAGUCCUACUCCUUCUGGGAGUAGGACUCCCCCCCUUUCCUUGUUGGAAUAGGAUUCAUGGAGGGGGGGGAAAGAGGAGAGAGAGGAGGAAGGGGGGCCGGCCCCCUCUCCUUGUCCAAUUCGGACCAAGGGGGGGAGGGGCGCGCGGCCCAUCUCUAGCCACCUCUCCUCUCUUCCACUAAGGCCCACUAAGGCCCAUAUACCUCCCGGGGGGUUCCGGUAACCUCCCGGUACUCCGGUAAAAUCCCGAUUUCACCCAGAACACUUCCGAUAUCCAAACAUAGGCUUCCCAUAUAUCAAUCUUUAUGUCUCGACCAUUUCGAGACUCCUCGUCAUGUCCGUGAUCACAUCCGGGACUCCGAACAACCUUCGGUACAUCAAAAUGCAUAAACUCAUAAUAUAACUGUCAUCGUAACCUUAAGCGUGCGGACCCUAUGGGUUCGAGAACAAUGUAGACAUGACCGAGACACGUCUCCGGUCAAUAACCAAUAGCGGAACCUGGAUGCUCAUAUUGGCUCCUACAUAUUCUACGAAGAUCUUUUAUCGGUCAGACCGCAUAACAACAUACGUUGUUCCCUUUGUCAUCGGUAUGUUACUUGCCCGAGAUUCGAUCGUCGGUAUCCUAUACCUAGUUCAAUCUCGUUACCGGCAAGUCUCUUUACUCGUUCUGUAAUACAUCAUCCCGCAACUAACUCAUUAGUUGCAAUGCUUGCAAGGCUUAAGUGAUGUGCAUUACCGAGAGGGCCCAGAGAUACCUCUCCGACAAUCGGAGUGACAAAUCCUAAUCUUGAAAUACGCCAACCCAACAUGUACCUUUGGAGACACCUGUAGAGCUCCUUUAUAAUCACCCAGUUACGUUGUGACGUUAGGUAGCACACAAAGUGUUCCUCUGGCAAACGGGAGUUGCAUAAUCUCAUAGUCAUAGGAACAUGUAUAAGUCAUGAAGAAAGCAAUAGCAACAUACUAAAUGAUCGGGUGCUAAGCUAAUGGAAUGGGUCAUGUCAAUCAGAUCAUUCAACUAAUGAUGUGAUCCCGUUAAUCAAAUAACAACUCUUUGUCCAUGGUUAGGAAACAUAACCAUCUUUGAUUAACGAGCUAGUCAAGUAGAGGCAUACUAGUGACACUCUGUUUGUCUAUGUAUUCACACAUGUAUUAUGUUUCCGGUUAAUACAAUUCUAGCAUGAAUAAUAAACUUUUAUCAUGAUAUAAGGAAAUAAAUAAUAACUUUAUUAUUGCCUCUAGGGCAUAUUUCCUUCAUGCACUAGCCCAACUAGCUCAUGAACUGUCCGGGGUUGGCCAAUCCCCCGACAGUUCCAGCUCAGGACUGUCAUGGCUCCUGGUGGGCGCCAUCUUUAGCACCCACCAGGUCCCCGGGAGCCCCAGUUCCGACUGCUUCCUUGUCUUCCUCCUUGCCCUUGCUGCUUGCUUCAGCGUCUGCCUCUGUCUAUUUCUUCUUUUUGUUCUGAUCCACCUCAUUGUCCUUACUCGCCCCCUUGAUCUUGCUGAAAUUCUCUUCAUUUCAUUCCCCUCUCUUACCCAGCACCGAGGCAGAAGGAAACACAUACUUCCUGCGGACCUUCACCCCAGCUGGGAUCAUCUCCUGCCCUACCUUAUCAGUAGCAGUCACAUCUCUCUUCUCUUCACCUUCUAGCUCAUGCAGCCCCGUCACCACGUGGAGACCAGCAUCACCAGCACCCUUAAUGAAGUACUAAGGUAAUGGGCCAAAGCCUGGAGGGAAGAGUGGUCCACUGCCAUUGUCAUCCUUAGCUUUUGCUGCGGCGAACUGUUCAGAGUUCAACAUCGUCUUCCCAGGUCCUGUUUUCACUGCUGUCUCUUCCACCUCCUUCCCAUCCACCUGCAUCUGCUUGUUUGGUGCCGCUAAUUCAGCUGGGACGGUCUCCUGGAUUGGCUUCUCUGCUGUGUUCCCCUUCCUACCCUGCUGAUCGCUGCCUCCUUCCUCAGUAACCUUCAGAGCACUCACCGCCGCUAUUGCCUCUUGCACCAUUGGGUUUGCCAUGAUUUCUUCAGGGACCGCCAUGAGCCUUGCUUUGGCUUGCUUUGGGUAGACAUGCACCUCCUUGCCGAACAUCUCCUGCCCAAAUUGGAGGAACCUGCGAGUUCUGCUGACAUUUGGAUCCACAUAUCCCCUUCUACUAGAGCUAUGCUUAGCAGGGGAGGCACGCAUUGCUGCUGUAAACCUCAUCUUUUGGAGGUCAACAGGUGAAGGAAAUAUGCCCUAGAGGCAAUAAUAAAGUUAUUAUUUAUUUCCUUAUAUCAUGAUAAAUGUUUAUUAUUCAUGCUAGAAUUGUAUUAACCGGAAACAUAAUACAUGUGUGAAUACAUAGACAAACAGAGUGUCACUAGUAUGCCUCUACUUGACUAGCUCGUUAAUCAAAGAUGGUUAUGUUUCCUAACCAUGGACAAAGAGUUGUUAUUUGAUUAACGGGAUCACAUCAUUAGUUGAAUGAUCUGAUUGACAUGACCCAUUCCAUUAGCUUAGCACCCGAUCGUUUAGUAUGUUGCUAUUGCUUUCUUCAUGACUUAUACAUGUUCCUAUGACUAUGAGAUUAUGCAACUCCCGUUUGCCGGAGGAACACUUUGUGUGCUACCAAACGUCACAACGUAACUGGGUGAUUAUAAAGGAGCUCUACAGGCGUCUCCAAAGGUACAUGUUGGGUUGGCGUAUUUCGAGAUUAGGAUUUGUCACUCCGAUUGUCGGAGAGGUAUCUCUGGGCACUCUCGGUAAUGCACAUCACUGAAGCCUUGCAAGCAUUGCAACUAAUGAGUUAGUUGCGGGAUGAUGUAUUACGGAACGAGUAAAGAGACUUGCCGGUAACGAGAUUGAACUAGGUAUUGAGAUACCGACGAUCGAAUCUCGGGCAAGUAACAUACCGAUGACAAAGGGAACAACGUAUGUUGUUAUGCGGUCUGACCGAUAAAGAUCUUCGUAGAAUAUGUAGGAGCCAAUAUGGGCAUCCAGGUCCCGCUAUUGGUUAUUGACCGGAGACGUGUCUCGGUCAUGUCUACAUUGUUCUCGAACCCGUAGGGUCUGCACGCUUAAGGUUUCGAUGACAGUUAUAUUAUGAGUUUGUGGGUUUUGAUGUACCGAAGGAGUUCGGAGUCCCGGAUGAGAUCGGGGACAUGACGAGGAGUCUCGAAAUGGUUGAGACGUAAAGAUCGAUAUAUUGGACGACUAUAUUCGGACAUCGGAAAGAUUCCGAGUGAUUCGGGUAUUUUUCGGAGUACCGGAUAGUUACGGGAGAAGCAAUGGGCCUUGAUGGGCUUUAGUGGGAAGAGGAGAAAGGGCCAAGGGGCUGCUGCGCCCCCCCUCCCCUCUGGUCCGAAUUGGACUAGGAAAAAGGGGGCCGGCCACCUUUCCUUCUCCUCUACUUCCUUCUGUCUUCCUCCCCUCUUGGUAGACUCCUACUAGGACUUGGAGUCCUAGUAGGACUCCACAUCCUGGCCGCACCAAUUGCCUUGGCCGGCCUCCUCCUCCUCCAUCCUUUAUAUACUGAGGCAAGGGGCACCCCAUGAACACAAGUUGAUCCACGUGAUCAUAUUCUUAGCCGUGUGCGGUGCCCCCUUCCACCAUAGUCCUCGAUAAUAUUAUAGCGGUGCUUAGGCGAAGCCCUGCGACUGUAGUACAUCAAGAUCGUCACCAUGCCGUCGUGCUGACGGAACUCUUCCCCGACACUUUGCUGGAUCGGAGUCCGGGGAUCGUCAUCGAGCUGAACGUGUACCAAGAACUCGGAGGUGCUGGAGUAACGGUGCUUGGAUCGGUCGGAUCGUGAAGACAUCGACUACAUCAACCGCGUUGUCACAACGCUUCCGCUGUCGGUCUACAAGGGUACGUAGAUCACACUCUCCCUCUCGUUGCUAUGCAUCACCAUGAUCUUGCAUGUGCGUAUGAAAUUUUUGAAAUUACUAUGUUAUCCAACAGUGGCAUCCGAGCCUAGGUUUUAUAUGUUGAUGUUAUAUGCACGAGUAGAACACAAGUGAGUUGUGGGCGAUAUAAGUCAUACUGCUUACCAGCAUGUCAUACUUUGGUUCGGCGGUAUUGUUGGACGAAGCGGCCCGGACCGACAUUACGCGUACGCUUACGCGAGACCGGUUCUCCCGACGUGCUUUGCACAUAGGUGGCUUGCGGGUGACAGUUUCUCCAACUUUAGUUGAACCAAGUGUGGCCACGCCCGGUCCUUGUGAAGGUUAAAACAGUACCAACUUGACAAACUAUCAUUGUGGUUUUGAUGCGUAGGUAAGAUUGGUUCCUGCUUAAGCCCGUAGCAGCCACGUAAAACAUGCAACAACAAAGUAAAGGACGUCUAACUUGUUUUUGCAGGGCAUGUUGUGAUGUGAUAUGGUCAAGACAUGAUGCUAAAUUUUAUUGUAUGAGAUGAUCAUGUUUUGUAACCGAGUUAUCGGCAACUGGCAGGAGCCAUAUGGUUGUCGCUUUAUUGUAUGCAAUGCAAUCGCGUUGUAAUGCUUUACUUUAUCACUAAGCGGUAGCGAUAGUUGUGGAAGCAUAAGAUUGGCGAGACGACAACGAUGCUACGAUGGAGAUCAAGGUGUCGCGCCGGUGACGAUGGUGAUCAUGACGGUGCUUCGGAGAUGGAGAUCACAAGCACAAAAUGAUGAUGGCCAUAUCAUAUCACUUAUAUUGAUUGCAUGUGAUGUUUAUCUUUUAUGCAUCUUAUCUUGCUUUGAUUGACGAUAGCAUUAUAAGAUGAUCUCUCACUAAAUUAUCAAGAAGUGUUCUCCCUGAGUAUGCACCGUUGCGAAAGUUCUUCAUGCUGAGACACCACGUGAUGAUCGGGUGUGAUAGGCUCUACGUUCAAAUACAACGGGUGCAAAACAGUUGCACACGCGGAAUACUCAGGUUAUAAUUGACGAGCCAAGCAUAUACAGAUAUGGCCUCGGAACACGGAGACCGAAAGGUCGAGCGUGAAUCAUAUAGUAGAUAUGAUCAACAUAGCGAUGUUCACCAAUGAAACUACUCCAUCUCACAUGAUGAUCGGACAUGGUUUAGUUGAUUUGGAUUACGUAAUCACUUAGAGGAUUAGAGGGAUGUCUAUCUAAGUGGGAGUUCUUAAGUAAUAUGAUUAAAUUGAACUUAAAUUUAUCAUGAACUUAGUCCUGGUAGUAUUUUGCAAAUUAUUUUAUAGAUCAAUAGCUCACGUUGUUGCUUCCCUAUGUUUAUUUUGAUAUGUUCCUAGAGAAAAUUGUGUUGAAAGAUGUUAGUAGCAAUGAUGCGGAUUGGAUCCGUGAUCUGAGGUUUAUCCUCAUUGCUGCACAGAAGAAUUAUGUCCUUGAUGCACCGCUAGGUGACGGACCUAUUGCAGGAGCAGAUGCAGACGUUAUGAACGUUUGGCUAGCUCAAUAUGAUGACUACUUGAUAGUUUAGUGCAUCAUGCUUAAUGGCUUAGAAUCGGGACUUCAAAGACGUUUUGAACGUCAUGGAGCAUAUGAGAUGUUCCAGGAGUUGAAGAUAAUAUUUCAAGCAAAUACCCGAGUUGAGAGAUAUGAAGUCUCCAACAAGUUCUAUAGCUAAAAGAUGGAGGAGAAUCGCUCAACUAGUGAGCAUGUGCCCAGAUUGUCUGAGUACUACAAUCGCUUGAAUCAAGUGGGAGUUAAUCUUCCAGAUAAGAUAGUGAUUGACAAAAUUCUCUAGUCACCAUCACCAAGUUAGUAGAACUUCAUGAUGAACUAUGAUAUGCAAAGGAUAACGGAAACGAUUCCCAAGAUCUUCGUAAUGCGGAAAUUGACGAAGGUAGAAAUCGAGAAAAACAUCAAGUGUUGAUGGUAGACAAGACCACUAAUUUCAAGAAAAGGGCAGAGGGAAGAAGGGGAACUUCAAGAAGAACAGCAAGCAAGUUGCUGCUCAAGUGAAGAAGCCCAAGUCUGGUCCUAAGCCUGAGACUAAGUGUUUCUACUGCAAAGGGACUGGUCACUGGAAGCGGAACUACCCCAAGUGAUUGGCAGAUAAGAAGGAUGGCAAAGUGAACAUAAGUAUAUUUGAUAUACAUGUUAUUGAUGUGUACUUUACUAGUGUUUAUAGCAACCCCUCAGUAUUUGAUACUAGUUCAGUUGCUAAGAUUAGUAACUCGAAACGGGAGUUGCAGAAUAAACAGAGACUAGUUAAGGGUGAAGUGACGAUGUGUGUUGGAAGUGGUUCCAAGAUUGAUAUGAUCAUCAUCGCACACUCCCUAUACUUUCGGGAUUAGUGUUGAACCUGAAUAAGUGUUAUUUGGUGUUUGCGUUAAGCAUGAAUAUGAUUUGAUCAUGUUUAUUGUAAUACUGUUAUUCAUUUAAGUAAGAGAAUAAAUUGUUGUUCUGUUUACAUGAAUAAAACCUUAUAUGGUUACACACCCAAUGAAAAUAGUUCGUUGGAUCUCGAUCGUAGUGAUACACAUAAUCAUAAUAUUGAAACCAAAAGAUGCAAAGUUAAUAUUGAUAGUGCAACUUAUUUGUAGCACUGCCGUUUAGGUCAUAUUGGUGUAAAGCGCAUGAAGAAACUCCAUGCUGAUGGGAUUUUGGAAUCACUUGAUUAUGAAUCACUUGAUGCUUGCGAACCAUGCCUCAUGGGCAAGAUGACUAAGACUCCAUUCUCCGGAGCGAGCAACUGACUUAUUGGAAAUAAUACAUACUGAUGUAUGCGGUCCGAUGAGUGUUAAGGCUCACGGCAAGUAUCGUUAUUUUCUGAACUUCACAGAUGAUUUGAGCAGAUAUGGGUAUAUCUACUUGAUGAAACAUAAGUCUAAAACAUUUGAAAAGUUCAAAGAAUUUCAGAGUGAAGUGGAAAAUCAUCGUGACAAGAAAAUAAAGUUUCUACGAUCUGAUCACGGAGACAAAUAUUUGAGUUACGAGUUUGGUCUUCAAUUAAAACAAUGUGGAAUAGUUUCACAAACUCAUGCCACAUGGAACACCACAGCAUAAUGGUGUGUCCGAACGUCAUAACCGUACUUUAUUGGAUAUAGUGCAAUCUAUGAUGUCUCUUACCAAUCUACCACUAUCAUUUUGGGGUUAUGCAUUAGAGACAGCUGCAUUCACGUUAAAUAGGGCACCAUCUAAAUCCGUUGAGACGACACCAUAUGAACUAUGGUUUGGCAAGAAACCUAAGCUGUCAUUUCUUAAAGUUUGGGACUGCGAUGCUUAUGUGAAAAAGUUUCAACAUGAUAAGCUCGAACCCAAAUCGGAGAAGUAAAUCUUCAUAGGAUAUCCAAAGGAAACUAUUGGAUACACCUUCUAUCACAGAUCUGAAGGCAAGACUUUUGUUGCUAAAUUCGGAAACUUUCUGGAGAAGGAGUUUCUCUCGAAAGAAGUGAGUGGGAGGAAAGUAAAAAAACUUGAUAAGGUAAUUGUACCUUCUCCCUUAUUGGAAAGUAGUUCAUCACAGAAAUCUGUUCCUGUGACUACUACACCAAUUAGUGAGGAAGCUAAUGAUGAUGAUCAUGUAACUUCAGAUCAAGUUACUACCGAAUCUCGCAGGUAAACCAGAGUGAGAUCCGCACCAGAGUGGUACUGUAAUCCUGUUCUGGAAGUCAUGUUACUAGACCAUGACGAACUUGCGAACUAUGAGGAAGCGAUGAUGAGCCCAGAUUCCGCAAAAUGGCUUGAGGCCAUGAAAUCUGAGAUGGGAUCCAUGUAUGAGAACAAAGUAUGGACUUUGGUUGACUUGCCCGAUGAUCGGCAAGCAAUUAAGAAUAAAUGGAUCUUCAAGAGGAAGACGGACGCUGAUAGUAUUGUUACUAUCUACAAAGCUAGAAUUGUCGCAAAAGGUUUUCGACAAGUUCAAGGUGUUGACUACGAUGAGAGUUUCUCACUCGUAUCUAUGCUUAAAUCUGUCCGAAUCAUGUUAGCAAUUGCCGCAUUUUAUGAAAUCUGGCAAAUGGAUAACAAAACUGCAAUCCUUAAUGGAUUUCUUAAAGAAGAAUUGUAUAUGAUGCAACCAGAAGUUUUUGUCAAUCCUAAAGGUGUUAACAAAAUAUACAAACUCCAGCGAUCCAUCUAUGGACUAGUGUAAGCAUCUCGGAGUUGGAAUAUACGCUUUGAUGAGUUGAUCAAAGCAUAUAGUUUUAUAAAGACUUGCGGUGAAGCCUGUAUUUACAAGAAAGUGAGUGGGAGCACUAUAACAUUUCUGAUAAGUAUAUGUGAAUGACAUAUUGUUGAUCGGAAAUAAUGUAGAAUUAUUCUGCAAAGCAUAAAGGAGUGUUUGAAAGGAGUUUUUCAAAGAAAGACCUCGGUGAAGUUGCUUACAUAUUGAGCAUCAAGAUCUAUAGAGAUAGAUCAACACGCUUGAUAAGGUUUUUCAAUAAAUACAUACCUUGACAAGAUUUUGAAGUAGUUCGAAAUGGAAUAGACAAAGAAAGAGUUUCUUGCCUAUGUUACAAGGUGUGAAAUUGAGUAAGACUCAAAGCCCGACCACGGCAGAGAUAGAAAGAGAAUGAAUAUCAUUCCCUAUGCCUUGGUCAUAGGUUCUAUAAAGUAUGUCAUGCUGUGUACCAGAUCUAUUGUAUACCCUACUACUGAGUUUGGCAAGGGAGUACAAUAGUGAUCUAGGAGUAGAUCACUGGACAGCGAUCAAAAUUAUCCUUAGUGGAAUAAGGAUAUGUUUCUCGAUUAUGGAAGUGAAAAAAGGUUCGUCGUAAAGGGUUACGCCGAUGCAAGUUUUGAUACUAAUCUAGAUGAAUCUAAGUCUCAAUCUAGAUACAUAUUGAAAGUGGGAGCAAUUAGCUAGAGUAGCUCCGUGCAGAGCAUUAUUGACAUAAAUAUUUGCAAAAUACUUACGGAUCUGAAUAUAACAGACCCGUGACUAAAAUUAUCUCACAAGCACAACAUGAUCACACCUUAGUACUCUUUGGGUGUUAAUCACACAUCGAUGUGAACUAGAUUACUGACUCUAGUAAACCCUUUGGGUGUUGGUCACAUAUCGAUGUGGACUAUGGGUGUUAAUCACAUGGUUAUGAGAACUAUUGCUAUUAAAUCACAUGGCGAUGUGAACUAGAUUAUUGACUCUAGUGCAAGUGGGAGACUGAAGGAAAUAUGCCCUAGAGGCAAUAAUAAAGUUAUUAUUUAUUUCCUUAUAUCAUGAUAAAUGUUUAUUAUUCAUGCUAGAAUUGUAUUAACCGGAAACAUAAUACAUGUGUGAAUACAUAGACAAACAAAGUGUCACUAGUAUGCCUCUACUUGACUAGCUCGUUAAUCAAAGAUGGUUAUGUUUCCUAACCAUGGACAAAGAGUUGUUAUUUGAUUAACGGGAUCACAUCAUUAGUUGAAUGAUCUGAUUGACAUGACCCAUUCCAUUAGCUUAGCACCCGAUCGUUUAGUAUGUUGAUAUUGCUUUCUUCAUGACUUAUACAUGUUCCUAUGACUAUGAGAUUAUGCAACUCCCGUUUGCCGGAGGAACACUUUGUGUGCUACCAAAGUCACAAUGUAACUGGGUGAUUAUAAAGGAGCUCUAUAGGCGUCUCCAAAGGUACAUGUUGGGUUGGCGUAUUUCGAGAUUAGGAUUUGUCACUCCGAUUGUCGGAGAGGUAUCUCUGGCCCCUCUCGGUAAUGCACAUCACCGAAGCCUUGCAAGCAUUGCAACUAAUGAGUUAGUUGCGGGAUGAUGUAUUACGGAACGAGUAAAGAGACUUGCCGGUAACGAGAUUGAACUAGGUAUUGAGAUACCGACGAUCGAAUCUCGGGCAAGUAACAUACCGAUGACAAAGAGAACAACGUAUGUUGUUAUGCGGUCUGACCGAUAAAGAUCUUCGUAGAAUAUGUAGGAGCCAAUAUGGGCAUCCAGGUCCCGCUAUUGGUUAUUGACCGGAGACGUGUCUCGGUCAUGUCUACAUUGUUCUCGAACCCGUAGGGUCCGCACGCUUAAGGUUUCGAUGACAGUUAUAUUAUGAGUUUAUGAGUGUUGAUGUACCGAAGGAGUUCGGAGUCCCGGAUGAGAUCGGGGACAUGACGAGGAGUCUCGAAAUGAUUGAGACGUAAAGAUCGAUAUAUUGGACGACUAUAUUCGGACAUCGGAAAGGUUCCGAGUGAUUCGGGUAUUUUUCGGAGUACCGGGUAGUUACGGGAGAAGCAAUGGGCCUUGAUGGGCUUUAGUGGGAAGAGGAGAAAGGGCCAAGGGGCUGCUGCGCCCCCUCCCCUCUGGUCCGAAUUGGACUAGGGAAAAGGGGGCCGGCCACCUUUCCUUCUCCUCUACUUCCUUCUCCCUUCCUCCCCUCUUGGUAGACUCCUACUAGGACUUGGAGUCCUAGUAGGACUCCACAUCCUGGCCGCACCAAUUGCCUUGGCCGGCCUCCUCCUCCUCCUCCAUCCUUUAUAUACUGAGGCAAGGGGCACCCCAUGAACACAAGUUGAUCCACAUGAUCAUAUUCUUAGCCGUGUGCGGUGCCCCCUUCCACCAUAGUCCUCGAUAAUAUUGUAGCGGUGCUUAGGCGAAGCCCUGCGACUGUAGUACAUCAAGAUCGUCACCACACCGUCGUGCUGACGGAACUCUUCCCCGACACUUUGCUGGAUCGGAGUCCGGGGAUCGUCAUCGAGCUGAACGUGUGCCAAGAACUCGGAGGUGCCGGAGUAACGGUGCUUGGAUCGGUCGGAUCGUGAAGACGUACGACUACAUCAACCGCGUUGUCACAAUGCUUCCGCUGUCGGUCUACAAGGGUACGUAGAUCACACUCUCCCCUCUCGUUGCUAUGCAUCACCAUGAUCUUGCAUGUGCGUAGGAAAUUUUGGAAAUUACUACGUUACUCAACAACAGGCAGCUUACAAUUGUGUUGUCCAUGCCCUAUGAGACCACAGUACCCACAGAAUCGAGGCACUCUCUCAUACUUAACCUCUAAGCAAUAGAAAUCAUUCUCUGACUUCUCAUGGAAAGUUACAUCACUACGGAGAGGCACAUCUACAUCGUGCUUGAUACGGAUUCUAAUGUAGUCCCCCCAAAUUUUACCUUCCUUGUCACAGUCCACAGCCAGGACCUCUCCUAGCUCUGCACCCACCUUCCAUGCAACUCUUUCUGACAUCAUGAUGGGAGGAGUGUCGUGAACACGUACCCAUAUUGGCAUGUGAGCGACUUCAACAUCAGCCGGUCUCUGGCUACCAUCCACUACCACCAUCAGGAAAGCAUCUCCCUUGUGAGUCCAGGGGCCGUUGUUGAGGAUGUGCCGGCGAUCUCCUUCCCGCUCAAACUCCAUCAGGUAGCGGUUGUUCUUGAGUGGGGAGUAGGUCAGCCGUCCCCUCAAGCCCCACUUGCUCUUCAUCUCUCGGAACAAACCUUCAGUGCCGAAGGCUUGUGGCGAGAAGAAGAGGCCCACUGCGAUCCAGUGGGUGCGCAUUGCCGCCUUCUCCGCAGACAGGUCUAGUUCCACAGCCUCCUUGAUCUGCCCGCAGAUGAUGGCAGGAAGCUUGGGAUCAGCAGCAUCCCCGACGGCCCCCACUCUGGGCGUCGGGACCAUGGCCUCCUCUGGGACAGACAGGGUGUUGAUCGCACCCCAUGGCCAUGGGAUGAGCCACCGUGCAACACGACCCUUUCCGGUCUUCCUCCCUCCGACCGCUUGGGUGGCACCUCACUUUCACUCAUGGCGCCCUUGCCCUUGCUCAUGAGGUUCUCCAUGGACAAGCCGGUGGCAAUCGCAGGUGGAGGUCGAGGAAUAGUACAUGCUACAUGCCCUUGAUCCUGGGUUUUAUACCCCAUCGGUGCAGAUCCGGUCCUGGCGACUUGCUCUGGCCCUGCAAUUGGUAUGUGAUCUCAUGAUAUCGCUGUAUCAGGGAUGGUAAUCAUCUCCAAAUCCUUUUCUCUUCCUCUGUCCGGCGGAUCUCCCGGCGGUAAUAGUUCCAGCCUAUCCUUUCUCCCAAUCCACGAGCGCCCCAGAUCCCUUCUCAAGCUCUGAAUCUUGUCUUUGAUUCGAUCCAUACCCCCCACCUCCGGUUGACCCCGAUUUUCCCCGCCCCGAUUCUUAGUUUCCUUCCUUUGGAUUUUCCUCAUCUCCAUCUUCUUGAUCGCAUUCCUUACCUGCAUCCAAUCCUUUCUCAAUCCUAAUGAAUCCCAAUUGGGGCAUAUCUCUUCCUUCCUACAGAUAUCCUCGCCCUUCCUCCGGGAAGGGUGAACUCUCACCGCCGGCGCGGCAUUCUCGGGAUCUACCCCUGAUCGCCUCGCGAUCGCCUCGAAAGGGGGAGCGUAAAUUGCGGGGCGGUCCAUUCUAUAAGGAGUUUUCCUGCAUUAUUAAAAUUUAACUAAACUUUAUUUUUAGUAUUUUAUAAGUAAAAAAUUGAGCGAAACAAUUUAUAUGUAAAUAACAUCUGCUUAGGGAGCCAACGUUUCUCUCCAGACGGGCCCUUACAUACCCAAGCAUCUAUUCCAGAGAAGGUUUUUGCCUCAAGAUUCACCCACUUGGCUGAAAAAGACCUUACAGUAAACCUAUACAUGGCACGUGGUAUUAAUUUUGGGAUGUGGUGGUGUACAAACGCCUCGUGGAUCCAUUUAUUUCAUUGAAAUUUUUUGAACGGGUGUGGCAUUUGGUUUGGUUGAUUUAGCGUUUUUUGGUUGUGUUUGGCUCAAUCUGUUCGUGUGUGUUUGUGUGUGCGUAUGUGCUGUCCCUUUCGGCUGUUUGAAUGUGGUUUCUUUCUCAUGUGCUAUCGCUUUCGGUUCUGCCGACGUGGUUGUUUUUUUAGCGUGUGUCACUGUCCAUUCUAGCAUAUGUUUGAAACAGAUAGUUCAUCACGUUUGCAAAGCAUAACCACUGUUAGGGUCGUCUUCUUCGUGUGCUUCCUCCAUGCUGUCUUCCGUUUCCCGGCCUGCAUGCUGCUGCAUCACCUACUUUCACAGGAGUAGUUCAGUGCUGCUGCAUGGUGGUGACCUGGUGGGUCUCUCUCUCUCUAUGAAGUGUCCCAUACAUAGUGUGACUGUAUCUGAAGCGGGACUGCUUCUGUCUGGGCAGCUCAAUAGUAAUAGCGUGUGUUUCAUCACCAUCAGCUAGCGAUCCAGGACUUCGUACUAAACUGCUACUAAAUUCACAAGAGGGAGCAUUUCAAUAAAUAAAAAUCUAUCGAUGCUUUAUAAUAUCAUGCAUACAUGUAUGAUGUAUCAACAGUUCUUUUUAGUUCUACUUCAUACCAAAAAAUAAAUUUGCAAUGUCUGAACAAAUAUGAAGUAUAAAAUUAUAUUAUGAAAGGGAAUUUUUUGAUUUUCAAAACUAAUGAACUUGGGCCUGCUUACAACACGUAUUCAUCAGUUAACUACACUUUUUUGGGGUAAUUGCUCUUUCAAAUCUCCAUAAGAGGGCAAAAACACCACUCUUCUCGAGAUGAUCGCAGUCAGCUGGAUGGGCUCCACACUUCCCGUGCCAUUUUAUAUGUUUUAAAUUGCACUUCAGAGAGCGUUCACCAGUUAACUGAAACUUAUUGUGUUCUAAAAUUUAAUCCAGGUGGUGUCUUUGGACUAAGGCCACUCUGGAGUGGUAACAUUAGCACAACUGAUGGUUGGUUUUUUUCCCCUGUUGACAUGUAUCUCCUUUCUUUUGAUGUGAAUACAUCAAUAGAAUAAGGGGUUUCUAAUAUUACUGUCUUACAUAGUUCACAGAUUAUUGAAGCUUUUUGCGGCUAUGGAAAUCUGACCAGAGACUAUUCGGUCUUAUCUCUGAAUUGAAGAUAAGAAGUGUAAAUGUUCAGAUAUGUAUGUUACCCCUUUUGUAAACUAAUAUAGGACCGUUUAGACUACUACUUUAGAUCACUAAAGUUGUGAUCUAAAUGGUCUUAUAUUAGUUUACAAAGGGAUUACCUCCUAACCACUCUUUACAGAUUUAUUAUCUAUGAAAUGCAUCCAAGCAAGUCCUAUCUUAUCUGCAAUUACCCCCUUAGAUAUCUGGAGUUUAGAGCUCACUAUCCUUCCAGGUUCUCUACUGGUUGUAUUUCCUUGACAACUUCGAGGGAGGAAUAAGUACUGUUUGUCAUUCUUUGACAUGUAUAAUACCAUACUAGAGAUGUGAAUUGUUGGAGUUCAUUUAGUGGAGUAUUAGUAGAUAAAUGAUUUCUUUUCUUCGCAUUCAACUGGUGUAUAUGUGUUUAGUCCAUUCCCAAAAUGAUUUGUAAAGUUGCCUUAACAACUAAACAGCCUUCAUGUGUAUUGGUACUCUGUUUUUUGGGCAGCUGGAAGAAAUCAGUUUAUCAAUUAACAAAUAUGGAACGGAGGGAGUAGUUAGUUAGGCAUCACAGUGAAGCUUGGCGAAGGGGCAUUUUUUUAGGCCUACAAGGCUGGAUGCACUGUAUCAAAGUGGUACCAUCUGAUGGGCAUUCAUUUGUCAACUACCACUUUUUUUAGCUGUAUCGCGUGCCAAAAAAUUGAAUUGACAAUGUCUGAACAAAUAUGAAGUAUAAAGUUAUAUCAUUGAAGAGAAUUGUUUUAUUUUCAAAAGUAAUGAAGUUGGAUCUGCUUAAAGCACAUAUUCACGAGUUAACUUCACUUUUUAGGGUAAUUGUAAUUUAAAUAUCCACAAGAGGACAAAAACACUACUCUUCUGGAGGUCAUCUAAAUAAGAUGGAAGGGCUCCACACUUCCCGUGCCAUUUUAUGUAUUUUAGAAUUUACUUCAGAGAGACUUCAUCAGUUUGUGCUCUAAAUUUUACUUUAGAGAGUGUCUUUGGACUGAGGCCACUUUAGCACAAUUGAUGGCUGCUUUUCCUCCCCUGUGGACAUGUACCUCCUUUAUCUAGAUGUGAAUAUAUCAAUAAAACAAGGAAUUUUUAAUAUUACUGUCUGACGGAGUUCACAGAUUAUUGAAGAUUUUUGCAGCUAUGGAGAUCUGACCAAACAGUCUUCUAUCCUACCUCUGAAUUGAAGAUGUAUUGGGUCUGUAUAUGAAGUGUAAAUAUUCAGAUAUGUAUGUUACCUCCUAACUUCUCUUUACAGAUUUAUUAUCUAUGAAAUGCAUGCAAGCAAGUUCUAUCUUAUAGACAAUUACUCUCUUAUAGAUAAAUCCGUUGAUUCAUGAAUUAAAUGGCCAGAGAUCGGUGCAGUCAAGUGGAUUGAUACCUGGACUUUAGAGCUCAAAAUCCUUCUAACUUCUCUACUGGCUGUAUUUUGUUGACAGCUUUGAGAGAAGAACAAGUACUGUUAGUCAUUCCAUGACAUGUAUAAUUUAAAUACUAGAGAAGUGAAUUGAUAGUUCAUUUAGUAGAGUAUUAGUAGAUGAUGGUGUAUAUCCUGAUAUGUUUAGUCCGUUCCCAAAAUAAUUUGUGAAGUAGCCUUAAUAAUUAUAAACCUUCUCUGUAUAUUAGUACUCAGUUUUUUGGGGAGCUGGAAGAAGCCAGCUUACCAUAACAUGUGAAAAUGAAUUUAUUUACCUGCAGUGUUGCUUUUAUUAGUUGACAAAGUUGUUUGUUAAAUACUCCCUCCGUCCAGAAAUACUUGUCAUCAAAAUGGAGAAAAAAGGAUGUAUCUAGAUGUAUUUUAGUUCUAGAUACAUCUUUUUUUAUCCAUUUUGAUGACAAGUAUUUUUUGACGGAGGGAGUAGUUAGUUAGGCAUUACAAUGAAGCUUGGCCAAGGGACUUCUGUUGAGGCCUACAAAGCUCGAAGAACUGUAAGUAGAGUGGUGCCUUUUGAUGUAUAUUCAUUUGUCGACUAAUACCUGGCCAUACUAGAGAAGUGCGCACACACCCCCUAACAGAUUCUAAAUGUGUACUUGGACGACCUUUAAAUACCUGGAUGAUAUUCCACAUAAACAAAGCCAUAUCGUCAUUUUAAUACAAUAAGCAAGCAGGGGCCCAUAAAACAAAUAGCUACUCUUUUUUGAUGUGUAGCAAAUUCAUUACUUAUGGGGGCAUCAAGAAGAGCUCUCUGCACAAAGGAUUCAUUACCUGAGCGAGGCAUACAAUCCAAGAGCCCUUUCAACGUUUCACCUUAGAUGAUAUAAUAUAACCAUAAGUUUUAUUUCUCAAAAUAUAGGAGGUGUACCACCCUGCACAAAGGAAACAAGAGUUUUACAAGUGUCCAGUAGCCAGGGUUGCAUAACUGUGAGAAAUUGAUGAUAAAACACAAUGUGAUAAUUCAACAGGUAAAACCGAAUUUAAGGUAAGCUAACUAAAUUGAGCAUUUGUUUCCCCAUUGGACAUGUCAGAAUUCACAAACAUCCAAAAGGAAAAGAUAAUGUAUCGACCAAACUACCAAAAUUAGAAAUUCUCUGUCAUGUACAACAAAUGCACCAACCCAUCAACCUAGACAGCAAUACUAAUAAAAGUUACAUUUUUCAAGUAGCCAGGCUGCCUCGAAUUACAAGAAUUUGAUCACUAUUCUUACUAAGAAACAAGUAAAGUACUGAAGUAGUACAUGUUAGCAUCAAUCUUAUUACUAUCCAGAGAAGCUCAAUUCAGGCAAAACAAGCCAAGGAAGCACACGACAACCAGAAACAGUGAGUGAAGGAAAGGAACCGAACCUGAGACACCCGAGGAGGAAUUCGCCAUCUCUGCCACCCGGCCCAAACGAUACCCCAGCAGAAUUGAGGAGCACGAGGACGAUAUGCUCACCCCACGAGCAGCUCCAUGGAUCUUGGCCCUCUCCGUGGCCAGGGCGACAGACUGCGAUGGCGAGCACGAGUCCAUGGAGGGGAUCAAGCAGCGCUUCGCGGCGGUGCAUGUGUGGCUCGCAGGUCGACUGUGGGCGGUGCGUGUCGGAAGAACUCACGUGUGGUUGCGGCAGUGCACAGCCAGGCGAAGCUCGCGGCGCGACGGCGGCCGGUGCGUGCGUGCGCGUAGUUGCCGUGAGUGGCUACCUGCGGUGUGGCCGCCGCACGACAUACGACAGCGCUCGGCCCCUUCGCUGCUCCCGCCACCUCUGUAGCUCAUGGUGGCGAGCCGGCGACGUCUCUGCGGCGAGCCAAUGCUAUCUAAAUGGUGUGCGGCACAGGAGCAGAGAGAG